GUGGGUAAUCUGCCCUGCACUCUGGGAUAAGCCUUGGAAACGAGGUCUAAUACCGGAUAUCACAACUCCUCGCAUGGGGGGUUGUUGAAAGUUCUGGCGGUGCAGGAUGAACCCGCGGCCUAUCAGCUUGUUGGUGGGGUAGUGGCCUACCAAGGCGACGACGGGUAGCCGGCCUGAGAGGGUGACCGGCCACACUGGGACUGAGACACGGCCCAGACUCCUACGGGAGGCAGCAGUGGGGAAUAUUGCACAAUGGGCGCAAGCCUGAUGCAGCGACGCCGCGUGAGGGAUGACGGCCUUCGGGUUGUAAACCUCUUUCGCCAGGGACGAAGCGCAAGUGACGGUACCUGGAUAAGAAGCACCGGCUAACUACGUGCCAGCAGCCGCGGUAAUACGUAGGGUGCGAGCGUUGUCCGGAUUUAUUGGGCGUAAAGAGCUCGUAGGCGGUUUGUCGCGUCGGCCGUGAAAUCUCCACGCUUAACGUGGAGCGUGCGGUCGAUACGGGCAGACUUGAGUUCGGUAGGGGAGACUGGAAUUCCUGGUGUAGCGGUGAAAUGCGCAGAUAUCAGGAGGAACACCGGUGGCGAAGGCGGGUCUCUGGGCCGAUACUGACGCUGAGGAGCGAAAGCGUGGGGAGCGAACAGGAUUAGAUAUCCUGGUAGUCCACGCU
rnacentral:rRNA from 1 species